GGCAGGGGCAGGCUCUGUGAGGCUGCUUCCCAGGAGUACUCUCAGGUUGCCUGCACCUGGCUGUCCCUGGGCCUGUCCUUGUUCAGGGGACAUCAGGGUUGCUCUUAUGAUGCCAGCAGAGGAAGGUCCUGAGGGCCCUGUCAGGAUUCCAGCAAUGGGAGGAGAAAUGGGCGCUGUGCUCAUCGCUCACGAGUCAGCCAUAGAACUUAACAUCUGAGAAGGGACGCACUGGUUCCCUAAGAAAGAAGCCCAAGUUGAAGGCCUCCCGAACAGGCCCAGACUCUGCACCUAAACUGGAGGCCACCAAAUGAGGUCAGGAC
rnacentral:lncRNA from 1 species